GCAAGCAAAAGACCGAGGGAAUGAUCAAUGCUGGGCUAUCUGGUCCUUUUCGAUCCCAACUCUGACCUCUUUCACUAUAUCUAAGUUAAAUCAGCAGCCGGGUGUUAAUUAUGAGAACAGCACCAUUGGAAAAAUGAAGCGCAAUACUUUUUCUUUGGUUCGAAGGCACACAUGCAACAUUAAAGAAAUAUCCAUUAUUUGUGGAUUAGAGACAAAGGCAACAAAUGCCCAGAUAACUGUCAUUCCACUUCAUUCACCUCAGGAAUAAUAGAUGAGUGGAAACUCAAACCUACAGUAAGCUAUCUGUUGGAGCCUGGGAGGUACAUCUGGAGUCAACACUGGCCUUGAAAUUCUGCUCACCUUCUGAGUGAUUUUUAGCAUGGGAUUUCCUUCAGCUCAUCGGGACUGUUGUUCUUGUUGAAGGAUUUAGCGCAUGAUAAUGUAUCCGUAAACUUCCUAAUGAAGACAGUCCUUGUUGCCAUUCCCCUGAACUCACUCUCCCUCAGCUGAUGACAUUGUGAUGUAUACUGGGAUGUAAUCACUAUUCUUUUUCCCCACAACCACCACCAGUGAGUCU